rnacentral:rRNA from 1 species
UACGGAGGGUGCGAGCGUUGUCCGGAAUCAUUGGGCGUAAAGGGUGCGUAGGCGGCGGGGCAAGUCUGAUGUGAAAUCCCGGGGCUCAACCCCCGGAACUGCAUUGGAUACUGCCUUGCUCGAGUACUGGAGAGGGAACUGGAAUUUACGGUGUAGCAGUGAAAUGCGUAGAGAUCGUAAGGAAGGCCAGUGGCGAAGGCGAGUUCCUGGACAGUUACUGACGCUGAGGCAGCGAAGGCCAGGGGGAGCAAACGGG